rnacentral:tRNA from 1 species
GGCUGUGGCUCAGUGGUGGAGCACUUGCCUAGCAUGUGUGAGGCCCUGGGUUCGAUCCUCAGCACCA